GGUCAAAGGACAGAGAGUGAGCUUCUGAGGUAGAGCCUAGUUCACAGUGUCCCUCAGGACACCAGUUCCCUGGGACAGUAGUAGGGGCUGUGCAGAGGUAGGAGGGGGCUCUGUGGUUGGUAAGUCUGGGAACCAAGUUACACAAAGGCUCACAGAUCUCUUUUCUGCCAUGUGUUUCAGAGGAGGGAAAAUGCAAAUAUUCGUGGAGGACUUCCAAGAAGGGGAUGUUGGAGGCUCUUCCCAAACUUUUGGCCCCGUGAUGCUGUCUUGAAGCAUCUUUUGGGAUUGGAAAUCCACAGACUCUGGGGAACCAAGCAAGUAAAGUAAAGGAUGGAAUUGGGGCUGGGUGUGCUGACAGUUUCUUAAAUCCAAAUGGGUGCACACUGGUCCAACUAGAGGAUGGACUUUGACACUGAAGCUGUCCCAGGGACACUGGGACCCUCUGCAUAAGAAUGAAGUCCAAACGUCAUGGCCCAGCACUGAAUGUGAGUCCCUGAGCCCUCCCCACGUGAGCACCGCUGCUGCUUGCUGCCCAAGCCCGACUCCCGCCUGUCUUUGUGGGGCUGCUGCCCCUGCAGAUCCUACACCACCUCUCCCUUAGUGUCCCCUGAAGGCUCAGCUGGAAACAAGAAUUCCCUUGUACUGUGCAUUACAGCUUUUUAUUUGUCAUCUCAACUUUCUAUGGCACUAUAGGCUCCUGGAAGACAAGAUCCAUGUCUGAUUCAUUUAAGUGUCCGUCAGGGCACACCCCACGGUGUUAAACACAUGGUAGAUAUUUGAUAAAAUAUCAGUUGGGAAGUGGCCAAAUGGGUGAAUGAAUGAAUGAGGGAGUGGAAAAAAUCAGUGAAAUCUCCAAGGAACAGGAAUCCAUAAGAGAAAUGAAGGUAGAGUGGAGAGAAAGCUGCAGGGCAGGGACAGGUUAAUGCAGAUGGCCAAUACUUCAGUCUGCGAAGGAUGAGGGAAGUUUCUUGGGAACCAGAGUAGUUCUCUUCUGAAAGAGAAUCUGUGGGG